rnacentral:rRNA from 1 species
GAUGAACGCUGGCGGCGUGCCUAAUACAUGCAAGUCGAGCGAACAGACGAGGAGCUUGCUCCUCUGACGUUAGCGGCGGACGGGUGAGUAACACGUGGAUAACCUACCUAUAAGACUGGGAUAACUUCGGGAAACCGGAGCUAAUACCGGAUAAUAUAUUGAACCGCAUGGUUCAAUAGUGAAAGACGGUUUUGCUGUCACUUAUAGAUGGAUCCGCGCCGCAUUAGCUAGUUGGUAAGGUAACGGCUUACCAAGGCAACGAUGCGUAGCCGACCUGAGAGGGGGAGCGGCCAAAAGGGAAAGGAGACACGGCACAACACCCUAGGGGGGGCAGGAGGAGGGAAUUUUCAGAAAGGGGAGAAAGCAUGACGGAGCAACGCCGGGGGGGGGAUGAAGGGUUGGGGAUGGAAAAACUCUUUUAUUAGGGAAAAAAAAAUGUGAAAGUAAAUAUGAACGUUUUGAGGGUACCAAAGAAAAAAGCCACGGAUAAAUACGG